GAUGAACGCUAGCGGGAGGCUUAACACAUGCAAGUCGAGGGGCAGCAUAGGGUAGCAAUACUCUGAUGGCGACCGGCAAACGGGUGAGUAACGCGUAUGCAACCUACCCUGUACAGGGGGAUAACCCGGAGAAAUUCAGACUAAUAUCCCGUAAUAAUAUCCGGAGGCAUCUUUGGAUAUUUAAAGUUCCGACGGUACGGGAUGGGCAUGCGUAACAUUAGCUGGUUGGUAAGGUAACGGCUUACCAAGGCUAUGAUGUUUAGGGGUCCUGAGAGGGUGGUCCCCCACACUGGUACUGAGACACGGACCAGACUCCUACGGGAGGCAGCAGUGAGGAAUAUUGGUCAAUGGGCGCAAGCCUGAACCAGCCAUCCCGCGUGCAGGAAGACGGCCCUAUGGGUUGUAAACUGCUUUUCCAGGGAGAGAAACUUACGCACGUGUUGCGUGACUGACGGUACCCUGGGAAUAAGCAUCGGCUAACUCCGUG
rnacentral:rRNA from 1 species